rnacentral:rRNA from 1 species
UUAAAAAGCUCGUAGUUGGAUUUCUGUCCGAGACGGCCGGUCCGCACUUAGUGCGUGUAUCUGGUUCGGCUAGGGCAUCCUCUUGGGGAUCGUUUCUGUGCUUUAUUGCAUGGGGCGGAAUUCAAGACUUCUACUUUGAGGAAAUUAGAGUGUUCACGGCAAGCAAUCGCUUUGAAUACAUUAGCAUGGAAUAAUAAUAUAGGGCGUAAGUUCUAUUUUGUUGGUUUCUAGGACUACGCAAUGAUUAAUAGGGACAAUUGGGGGCAUUCGUAUUAACGCGUCAGAGGUGGAAUUCUUAGAUUGCGUUACGACGAACUACUGCGAAAGCAUUUGCCAAGGAUGUUUUCAUUGAUCAAGAACGAAAGUAUGGGGAUCGAAGACGAUUAGAUACCGUCGUAGUCUAUACCAUAAACUAUGCCAAUUAGAGAUUGGAGGUCGUUCAUUUAUGGCACCUUCAGCACCUUAUGAGAAAUCACAAAUU